rnacentral:rRNA from 2 species
GGGUUGUGAGGUUAAGCGACUAAGCGUACACGGUGGAUGCCCUGGCAGUCAGAGGCGAUGAAGGGCGUGCUAAUCUGCGAUAAGCGCCGGUAAGGUGAUAUGAACCGUUAUAACCGGCGAUACCCGAAUGGGGAAACCCAGUGUGAUUCGUCACACUAUCAUUAACUGAAUCCAUAGGUUAAUGAGGCGAACCGGGGGAACUGAAACAUCUAAGUACCCCGAGGAAAAGAAAUCAACCGAGAUUCCCCCAGUAGCGGCGAGCGAACGGGGAGGAGCCCAGAGCCUGAAUCAGCAUGUGUGUUAGUGGAAGCGUCUGGAAAGGCGCGCGAUACAGGGUGACAGCCCCGUACACAAAAGCGCAUGUGCUGUGAGCUCGAUGAGUAGGGCGGGACACGUGGUAUCCUGUCUGAAUAUGGGGGGACCAUCCUCCAAGGCUAAAUACUCCUGACUGACCGAUAGUGAACCAGUACCGUGAGGGAAAGGCGAAAAGAACCCCGGCGAGGGGAGUGAAAAAGAACCUGAAACCGUGUACGUACAAGCAGUGGGAGCCUCUUUUAUGGGGUGACUGCGUACCUUUUGUAUAAUGGGUCAGCGACUUAUAUUCUGUAGCAAGGUUAACCGAAUAGGGGAGCCGGAGGGAAACCGAGUCUUAACCGGGCGUUAAGUUGCAGGGUAUAGACCCGAAACCCGGUGAUCUAGCCAUGGGCAGGUUGAAGGUUGGGUAACACUAACUGGAGGACCGAACCGACUAAUGUUGAAAAAUUAGCGGAUGACCUGUGGCUGGGGGUGAAAGGCCAAUCAAACCGGGAGAUAGCUGGUUCUCCCCGAAAGCUAUUUAGGUAGCGCCUCGUGAAUUCAUCUCCGGGGGUAGAGCACUGUUUCGGCUAGGGGGCCAUCCCGGCUUACCAACCCGAUGCAAACUGCGAAUACCGGAGAAUGUUAUCACGGGAGACACACGGCGGGUGCUAACGUCCGUCGUGAAGAGGGAAACAACCCAGACCGCCAGCUAAGGUCCCAAAGUCAUGGUUAAGUGGGAAACGAUGUGGGAAGGCCCAGACAGCCAGGAUGUUGGCUUAGAAGCAGCCAUCAUUUAAAGAAAGCGUAAUAGCUCACUGGUCGAGUCGGCCUGCGCGGAAGAUGUAACGGGGCUAAACCAUGCACCGAAGCUGCGGCAGCGAACGUAUCACUUAAAGCGAUUCAGCGGGUUACGAUUGACGGAGCGAAGCGACGUCAAAGCGUAUACAAAGUCGAGUCGGUUUAAGGAUACGUUCGUUGGGUAGGGGAGCGUUCUGUAAGCCUGCGAAGGUGGCCUGUGAGGGUUGCUGGAGGUAUCAGAAGUGCGAAUGCUGACAUAAGUAACGAUAAAGCGGGUGAAAAGCCCGCUCGCCGGAAGACCAAGGGUUCCUGUCCAACGUUAAUCGGGGCAGGGUGAGUCGACCCCUAAGGCGAGGCCGAAAGGCGUAGUCGAUGGGAAACGGGUUAAUAUUCCCGUACUUGGUGUUACUGCGAAGGGGGGACGGAGAAGGCUAUGUUGGCCGGGCGACGGUUGUCCCGGUUUAAGCGUGUAGGUGUGUGUUCCAGGUAAAUCCGGUUCACUUUAACACUGAGGCGUGAUGACGAGGCACUACGGUGCUGAAGCAACAAAUGCCCUGCUUCCAGGAAAAGCCUCUAAGCAUCAGGUAACAUCAAAUCGUACCCCAAACCGACACAGGUGGUCAGGUAGAGAAUACCAAGGCGCUUGAGAGAACUCGGGUGAAGGAACUAGGCAAAAUGGUGCCGUAACUUCGGGAGAAGGCACGCUGACACGUAGGUGAAGUGAUUUACUCACGGAGCUGAAGUCAGUCGAAGAUACCAGCUGGCUGCAACUGUUUAUUAAAAACACAGCACUGUGCAAACACGAAAGUGGACGUAUACGGUGUGACGCCUGCCCGGUGCCGGAAGGUUAAUUGAUGGGGUCAGCGCAAGCGAAGCUCCUGAUCGAAGCCCCGGUAAACGGCGGCCGUAACUAUAACGGUCCUAAGGUAGCGAAAUUCCUUGUCGGGUAAGUUCCGACCUGCACGAAUGGCGUAAUGAUGGCCAGGCUGUCUCCACCCGAGACUCAGUGAAAUUGAACUCGCUGUGAAGAUGCAGUGUACCCGCGGCAAGACGGAAAGACCCCGUGAACCUUUACUAUAGCUUGACACUGAACAUUGAGCCUUGAUGUGUAGGAUAGGUGGGAGGCUUUGAAGUGUGGACGCCAGUCUGCAUGGAGCCGACCUUGAAAUACCACCCUUUAAUGUUUGAUGUUCUAACGUGGACCCGUGAUCCGGGUUGCGGACAGUGUCUGGUGGGUAGUUUGACUGGGGCGGUCUCCUCCUAAAGAGUAACGGAGGAGCACGAAGGUUGGCUAAUCCUGGUCGGACAUCAGGAGGUUAGUGCAAUGGCAUAAGCCAGCUUGACUGCGAGCGUGACGGCGCGAGCAGGUGCGAAAGCAGGUCAUAGUGAUCCGGUGGUUCUGAAUGGAAGGGCCAUCGCUCAACGGAUAAAAGGUACUCCGGGGAUAACAGGCUGAUACCGCCCAAGAGUUCAUAUCGACGGCGGUGUUUGGCACCUCGAUGUCGGCUCAUCACAUCCUGGGGCUGAAGUAGGUCCCAAGGGUAUGGCUGUUCGCCAUUUAAAGUGGUACGCGAGCUGGGUUUAGAACGUCGUGAGACAGUUCGGUCCCUAUCUGCCGUGGGCGCUGGAGAACUGAGGGGGGCUGCUCCUAGUACGAGAGGACCGGAGUGGACGCAUCACUGGUGUUCGGGUUGUCAUGCCAAUGGCACUGCCCGGUAGCUAAAUGCGGAAGAGAUAAGUGCUGAAAGCAUCUAAGCACGAAACUUGCCCCGAGAUGAGUUCUCCCUGAGACUUAGAGUCUCCUGAAGGAACGUUGAAGACGACGACGUUGAUAGGCCGGGUGUGUAAGCGCAGCGAUGCGUUGAGCUAACCGGUACUAAUGAACCGUGAGGCUUAACCUUACAACGCCGAAG